CAAUUUCCUCGUGAAGAUACCAUUUACUGAUGAGACGAUAUUUAGUAAAUGUGGAAUAACAAAUAUACGUAACGAAUAUUUCCGGGCACGCGAAAAUUCACAGCCAUUAAGAGAUAGUUCGUGCAGGAUGGUGCACCACCACAUUCUACCAACGCCGUAUAAGAGCGUUUGAUCAGCUGUUUUGGAAACAGUACUGGGGAUACACGAAGACACAAUACAGUAAAAUUUUAAGAGAACAGUCAGGCUCUGUUUACAAGAGAACGGAGGACGUUUCGAACAUCGUAAGUUGUAAGUUGUGUUUUUUGUGGACACUCGCAGCCGAGAUAAUCGCGGUGCGUGUGUGGUUUUGUUAUGGACGAUCCCUACGACUUGUACGAGAUAAGCUGCCGAAAUACGUAUCGUUCGGAUUGAGGAUCACCAGAUCAGAAAGAUCUAUCUAUAUUAGAUUUCGAAAUUAUGUUGGAUAAGCUAAAUAAGAUAAAAUUCCAUAAUGACCGAUUCGGUGGAGAUAUUAAUGGUGCGUAUAAAUAUAAACGUAACAAAAUCCACUCUUUUUUUUUAUACGUGGAGAAAUCCUCAUAGCUAUCGCGCUUCGCAUCUACCCACCUAUUUUACAACGUAGUCAAGUGUACGCUUGUUCGAAGAGUCUUUAAUUUUGAUUUACUCGGCGAUAAAGCUUCCUAUGGAAAAAUAUUACUGUACUAACGUCACCAGUUUGGAAACACUUUACACAAAAAAGCAUAUUAAUUUUAAAAGGUAAACUGCAGCAAAGAGCGAUAAAUUUCUAUGGCUUUAAUUAAGCUUUUGUUAUUUUAAUUACUUGCUUUGUUAAAAUAAGUCUUACUUGAAAGAUGUUUGAGAGAUCACGUAGAUUAAAUACGUAAUGAAAUUUGACUGCCGUUGGUAGGAAUGUUGUUGAAAUUUUGUGGUGACAGUACAAUGCCGCAUUUAAUAAUGAUUCUGCAAUUUUUGUCAGCGCUAAGUUAAAUUUGUUGAUAGGAUUCAUCAGGUGUUGGUCUAGCAUUUGGCUGUAGAUCAAUACUAGAUUGUCUUCGGUUGGAAAACUGCAAUAAAAGAUUUUCAGUUGAUAGAAAAAGAUGUUUGUAAUAAUAACUUACAUAUAAGUUAUAUUUCCAAAAAUCUUAUAUACAUAUUCUAUAUCAUAUACAGGGUGAUGCACGUAAAUCAUGACAACUGAAUAUUUUCUUUUUUUAUUAUUAUUAUUUAACUUGUACUUUACAAUUUGUCCAGGUGAACAUUUGUUAAAUUUUUCUAGCUUUAUUGCUAUAUAACACGUGGAUGGCUACCUCCAGCAGGAUACCACCUUCCAGUUUGUUUAUUUUAUUUCUUUAGCGAGGUCAGUGGGAUGUUUUCUUUUCAGUCGCCUUUUUUAUAUGGGUUUCGCUCGUGUCAGCAGUCAACUUAUUUGAACGUGUUGCCGUUAUUUUCUUGUUUUUUUUUUACGU
rnacentral:misc_RNA from 1 species